ensembl:ncRNA F46C5.11 ncRNA
CAAGUGGUUUCGUGCGGAAACGGCAUCUUUUCGAAAUUCCGGAAAUUCCCCAGUGACCAUGCUCUCCAUCUUUCCUUCCCCCGAAAAUCAGUUUGUCACAACAUCGUCCAAAUGUUGCCGCCACGCAAAG